CCCCCCCCCCCCCCCCCCAUGUCUGUUCUAGUAAAAUCUGGUGAUUUCAAUGCAGUUCUCAUAGAGUUUGUCACAUGGUUAGAGGGUUUACUAAGUUAGAUAGGAAACAAACAAGGUAUCUUCUCUCAUUGAGUUUAAGUAUCCCCCCUCACACAUUUCUCUCUUCUCUCUCCCCCUCUCUCUGCCUGUUUAUGGUUCACAUUAUUGGUUGCUAAUUCAGUGUUUCUCUAAAAGGGGUCCGAGUACCCCAGGGAUGGGUUUAGAGUUACUUAUUGGAAAAAUAGGUAGCCUGUGUAUGAGUAUGUGAGAGACUCUUUGAUUGUUGCUGACAAUACAUUUCAAUAGGAAACACAGUCAAGGUUUUGUUCCAUUUUAAUUUUGACAAAAAGAAGGGGGGGGGGGGUAAUUUUAAACAAAUGUCUGCGAAAGAAUUGGAACGAAAGAAAAAGGUUAAAACACUUAAAAGUUAAUUCUCUCCUAUGCUCCCAGAGUUCACUGUUUUUGUCAGUGCAGAAUUAUUUUUUUUUGGGAGAAGGAGGGAGGGUGAGGUAUGUUUGGAACUUGAUGUCACUGUGACAUUCUAAGUCAUCAGGUUGGUUUACAUUAUUUAGCAGAUUUCUUCCUCCCCCCCCCCCCCCCCCCCC